rnacentral:lncRNA from 10 species
AUUCUUUCUCAGCAACUUCCUAAAGCUGAGAGUAAGUCCGGGGGCCUCGAAACUGCGCUCCAUUACACAAUAGAGGCUCUGAAAGAAAAGGCUUUGGUUUUUGAACACGUACAAAGAGAGCUAAACCAAACACAGUGUCAAAUGAAGGACACUGAAAAAAAUGUACAAAGAUGGCCAAGAUAAAGUAGAAAAAUGCAUAGAAAAGCAAAUAAAAUUAUGUCAACUACAAAGACAAAAUAUGUUACUUCAACAGUAACUGGAUGAUGCUCACAACAAAUCUGACAAUCAAGAAAAAACAAUAAUUGAUAUUCAAGCCAAAUGUGAUGUUAGAGUACAAAACCUUCAAGCUGAGUGCAGAAAGCACUGUCUUUUGCUAGGAGAAGAUUAUAAGAAGUUGAUCAAUGAAUUUAAUCAUUUGAAAGAAAAACAAUGUCAAUAUGAAAGAGAAAAAGAAAGAGUAGUUGUGAGACAACUUCAACAAAAACAGGAUGAUAUUCUAAACAAACAAUCAACAACAAAAGCUCUGCUGGAUGCUUCAUUGUGUCACUGCGUCCAUCUAGAAUGUGAGAUGCAGGAUUCAAGGAAGAAAUUAGGCCAGAUGAGAAGUCAAUUUCAAGAAAUACAGGAU